rnacentral:rRNA from 1 species
UACGAUACGAGUUUGAUCAUGGCUCAGGAUGAACGCUAGCGGCAGGCCUAACACAUGCAAGUCGAGGGGUAUAGUUCUUCGGAACUAGAGACCGGCGCACGGGUGCGUAACGCGUAUGCAAUCUACCUUUUACAGGGGAAUAGCCCAGAGAAAUUUGGAUUAAUGCCCCAUAGUGUUAUAGAAUCGCAUGGUUUUAUAACUAAAGUUCCAACGGUAAAAGAUGAGCAUGCGUCCCAUUAGUUAGUUGGUAAGGUAACGGCUUACCAAGACAAUGAUGGGUAGGGGUCCUGAGAGGGAGAUCCCCCACACUGGUACUGAGACACGGACCAGACUCCUACGGGAGGCAGCAGUGAGGAAUAUUGGACAAUGGGCGCAAGCCUGAUCCAGCCAUGCCGCGUGCAGGAAGACGGUCCUAUGGAUUGUAAACUGCUUUUGUACAGGAAGAAACACUCCCUCGUGAGGGAGCUUGACGGUACUGUAAGAAUAAGGAUCGGCUAACUCCGUG